rnacentral:rRNA from 1 species
UGGGGAAUAUUGGACAAUGGGCGAAAGCCUGAUCCAGCCAUGCCGCGUGUGUGAAGAAGGUCUUCGGAUUGUAAAGCACUUUAAGUUGGGAGGAAGGGCAGUAAGCGAAUACCUUGCUGUUUUGACGUUACCGACAGAAUAAGCACCGGCUAACUCUGUGCCAGCAGCCGCGGUAAGACAGAGGGUGCAAUCGUUAAUCGGAAUUACUGGGCGUAAAGCGCGCGUAGGUGGUUCGUUAAGUUGGAUGUGAAAGCCCCGGGCUCAACCUGGGAACUGCAUCCAAAACUGGCGAGCUAGAGUAGGGCAGAGGGUGGUGGAAUUUCCUGUGUAGCGGUGAAAUGCGUAGAUAUAGGAAGGAACACCAGUGGCGAAGGCGACCACCUGGGCUCAUACUGACACUGAGGUGCGAAAGCGUGGGGAGCAAACAGG